rnacentral:rRNA from 1 species
GACGAACGCUGGCGGCGUGCUUAACACAUGCAAGUCGAACGGAAAGGCCCUGCUUUUGUGGGGUUCUCGAGUGGCGAACGGGUGAGUAACACGUGAGUAACCUGCCCUUGACUUUGGGAUAACUUCAGGAAACUGGGGCUAAUACCGGAUAGGAGCUCCUGCUGCAUGGUGGGGGUUGGAAAGUUUCGGCGGUUGGGGAUGGACUCGCGGCUUAUCAGCUUGUUGGUGGGGUAGUGGCUUACCAAGGCUUUGACGGGUAGCCGGCCUGAGAGGGUGACCGGCCACAUCGGGACUGAGAUACGGCCCAGACUCCUACGGGAGGCAGCAGUGGGGAAUAUUGCACAAUGGGCGGAAGCCUGAUGCAGCAACGCCGCGUGCGGGAUGACGGCCUUCGGGUUGUAAACCGCUUUCGCCUGUGACGAAGCGUGAGUGACGGUAAUGGGUAAAGAAGCACCGGCUAACUACGUG